rnacentral:rRNA from 1 species
ACGUAAUAGAUACCCGGGUAGUCCACGCCCUAAACGAUGUCUACUAGUUGUUGGUGGAGUAAAAUCCAUGAGUAAACGCAGCUAAACGCGUGAAGUAGACCGCCUGGGGAGUACGGUCGCAAGAUUAAAACUCAAAUGAAUUGACGGGGGCCCGCACAAGCGGUGGAUUAUGUGGAUUAAAUUCGAUGCAACGCGAAAAACCUUACCUGGCCUUGACAUGUAACGAACUUUCCAGAGAUGGAUUGGUGCUCGAAAGAGAACGUUAACACAGGUGCUGCAUGGCUGUCGUCAGCUCGUGUCGUGAGAUGUUGGGUUAAGUCCCGCAACGAGCGCAACCCUUGCCAUUAAUUGCCAUCAUUUAGUUGGGCACUUUAAUGGGACUGCCGGUGACAAACCGGAGGAAGGUGGGGAUGACGUCAAGUCCUCAUGGCCCUUAUGGCCAGGGCUUCACACGUAAUACAAUGGUCGGUACAGAGGGUUGCCAACCCGCGAGGGGUAGCCAAUCCCAGAAAGCCGAUCGUAGUCCGGAUUGUAGUCUGCAACUCGACUAC